rnacentral:lncRNA from 1 species
CCGGCGGGGCACACAGCAGGUGCUCAGAAGUCACUGCCAGUGGCGAUGGGGGUGGGGUCCCCUCUGCGCGGCUACAUGCAGCCUCCCUGACCCCGCUCCUGCCACAGGGACAGCAGCAGACCCCGCGUGAUUCUCAAAGAAGGCGCCGUUUCUGGAAUUCUCGAUCUCUUUUUCCCUUUCAGCCCCGAUCCGUUUCUUUAUUCACUUCAGCGGCUUUCCGUGCUCUGGUGGAACGAGGGAGGGCCAAGGUCUCGGCGCCCUCUGCUCCGGCUUUUAUCUGCCUGAUUUCAGGCGGCUGGAGCCCCGGCCCCGACUCAGCUGGAGAAAUGUCGAAACCAUAUUAAAUCACAGGACACAGGCAGGUGACAGGGCAACACCUGCCUUUUGACCGGCCCCCUGGCCCUGAGCCCGCAGCAGGGAGAGGUCGCUGUGCUCUGAGGCCCGGCUCGUUGGAUCCUCGCUUCCCUGUAAUCACGAUCUCGGACUUGGAAGCAGUCUUCUCGAGGUGAGAGCUGACGGUGACCAGGCGCAGGAGCUUUGUGGCAGGACAGCCCCCGGUGGGGAGUGCCCAGCUGAGCCGAUACAUCGCAGGGGCUGCUGGGCUGGUUUCUCUUCUCCUUUUAGUUUUUAUUAGUUUUUUUUUUUAAUAUAAAAGUGAUACCAGCUCACUCUGACAGCCCGAGUCGUGUGGGAGCGUGUAAGGAUCUUACGUGUCCUGUCCCCUUGCUGGAACACCGCUUCCCAGGGGAAACACUGCAAAUAUGGAUCGCAGUGAGCUUGCUGGAUGGUUUGCUAAGACCCUUUGAAUUCACUGCUCCUGCAACCCAAUCACCAGCCCCGUGGGGCAGAAUUUGUGCCCCCCCCCCACUUUUUCUAAGUUUAUUUAUUUUGAGAGAGAGAGAGACAGAGAGGGAACACACGCGAGUGGGGGAGGGGCAGAGAGAGAGGGAGACAGAAUCCCAGGCAGGCUCUGCACCGUCAGCACAGAGCCCGAUGUGGAGCUCGAACCCACCAACUAUGAGAUCGUGACCUGAGCCACAGUCAAGGGCCGGACACUGAACUGACCGAGCCACCCAGGCGCCCCUGCCACUCUUCCUUUUUAAGGACAGUUAAGGGGCUCAGAAUCACAGGGUGACCUCCAAGGCCACUCAGCUGGUUUCAAAGCAGGGGUUGCACCCACAACUCUGUGGCUCCAAGGGCAUGCCCUUCCCACUCGCCCCGCCCUGACUGUUAAUGGUUUGGCAUAAAUAUGUAUUUCCUAAGUGUAUAAAAACCCGUCUUUCUUUUAUGAACAUGGGAUCAGACUCGACGCAUCAUUUUGCAGCUCGCUUUUUAAUUUGAGGGUAUUUUCCUGCGUGGCCCUGUGCCCCCACCGUCCUUUGUCGGAGCCCCCCACAUUUAUUUAGCUGGUCCUUUUCAGGCAAAUGUUGAGGUUGGGUUUUCUAUUAUUGGCUACAAGUGCUGUAUGCAUACCUCCUCUUUGUCAGAUAGUUGAAUGAUUUAGAUAAAAACUUCCCCGGGCUACCCUGUUCUGCAGUCACCUCCACAUUUUCAGUCCCCUCUCCAUAGUAACCGCUCUUAUCAGGGUGGCAUAUAAUCCGUACAGACCUAUUUCUAUGCAUUUGUAUGCAUGCAUAUGCAUGUGCUUUUGCUAUGGGUGUUUUUCUUAAAAAAAAAAAAAGCAUGCGAGGUAUCACGCAAUAUUCAUUUUUGUGCGUUUGGCUUUUUCCCCCUCUAGCGACAACCCGGACAUCUUUCUACGUUGGUACAUAUAGAGCUUCCUCAUCCUUUUUAAUGAGGCUAUGUGUCAUGUUCCAUGGCGCAGAUGCAUCAUCUUUUUUUAAAACCAUUUCCCUAUUGAUAGAUACAUGGGUUCCUUCCAUUUCCCCCCGACUGUAAUAAACAUCCUUGUGCACGCCUCAGCCUAUGCACGUGGGAGCAGGGCUCUAGUACAGAUACCCGGGUGUAGAAUUGCUGGGUUGAGGGGGUUGUCAGGCUGGGUCUUGUCUGAGGCCACAGGAGGCUGGGGGAAGACACGGAUUGGGGGACUCCGGGGUGGUGGGGGGAGGCUGUCUGCUGCCGCGGCGUGAGGUGACGUGGUGGGGGACCCGCUCGCUGGGGCCGUGUUCUCGGGUGGCUCCUGGGGGCACUGCCGGCUCCAAGAAAUUCUGCGGUCUAUGCGGCUCCCUGGACAGCACCGUGGGAACAGCCCUGCGGGUCCCACUCCCUCUUUUCCUCCUUGUACUCACUUGAGGGGGGUGGGGGUGGGCUGGCCGGCCCGGACUGACCAGUUACUUUGGUGGCUUUAGUCCAUUUCCUACUAGUUAGUUCUAGGGAAGUUCUAGGGAAGGGAUAAGGUACCAAAAGUUACCUGGACGGGCAUCAGGCAGGCCCCGGCCCUCCGGGAGCUGCGGCAGCGUGGGGACAUGAACUUCUGCCAUCUGACUGGGGCUGUGACAGGGGGAAGUACAGGAUGCUCUGGGGACACCAGGGUGCUUCCGAUGGAGCAGGUGGUGGAGGGGAGCGGUCAGGAGGGUCCUGUUGGAAGGGUUAGCCGAGCGGGUCUUAAAGAACGCGUGCGUGUACAUAUUCAAACGUCUGUGUGUUCAUGUGUUUGUGCGCUGGUGAUUUACGGUUGGUUGGUUCGUUUUUCAGCCGGUCACCAGUCUCCCCCCUUCUUCUGGUAACGAACGGUACAGUCUCCGCGUUUUUGUUCCCCGUCCGGUUCCUUCUGCAGCCCCGCCCUUUCCCACUGCGAGCACAGGAACGGACAUGUGGCCCCGGCCGGCCAAUCAGAGCGCUGCAUCCGUGAGCCCCAGAAACCGGUUGGGCUCUAGCCAAUCAAAGCCUUCCCUGGGAUUUUUCUGCUGGAGUUGGUGGGAGAAACUCCUUCUUGCUUUCCCAGGAGGUGUGGAGCUCGAGGUGGAGGCUUGGGGUCACCUUCCUGGCUUCAUGGGGCGAGCCCAGGUGUAGUGGAGGAAACUGAAGCCAUUUUUGCAGAAAGAAGCAGAGACGGAAAUGAAAGGUGAUGGAGAGAGAAAGCACUGAGGUUCUGUUUCUGGCUGUUCUGCUCCUGAGCUGCUUCUCGAUCCCUGGGGCCAAACAUCCUUCUUCUAAAAGAUCUCAGGGGCUGGAUUUGGGUCUGUUCCUGUGGCCCAGAGCCCUGACCAAUGUUGGGGGCGGGGGGGGGGGGGGGGAGGCUCACGAGGUUAUGAGGGCUCCAAACGGGCAGAAAGCAGGUGGGAUGGGUAUGAGGCUCUUUUUCUAUCCUCUGUCCAUUCUGUCCUGGAAAACCCAAGUCAACAGUGAAAUUCUCUUUCUUAAAACACUUCAAUGGCUCCCCAUUUUCUUUAGGAUCAGGCCCCAAACUCCUUAGCCUUUUGCCCUGGGCUCUGCAGGGUCACCUCUCACUGACCACAAAUUAGGUUCCAGUCGUACCAGACUUCUUGAUCUUCAGGCACAGGCCAUUCUCUCUCCUCCAAGCCUUUGUACACGCUGUUUCCUCGGCCUGGAAUACCCUUCCUUUGUUUUUCUACCUUACCUUCACCCUGAUUCUUUACCAGGAUGGCUCCGACUCCCCUUCGGGUUUGGAAGUAAAUACCUCUUCCUCCAGGAAGGCUGCCUGCUCCCCUGCUCUGAGCUCCCACAGCACGACAUUAUCCAACUCUACAGUGAACGCCGGGCUCUAUGAAAGUGAGUAGAUGUCCAUCUUAUGCAUUCCUGCUCUCGUGCACACCAGGUUCCAGCAUAUUGUUAAUACCUAGGCGGGGAAUUCAUCAACACGCGUGUCCUAGUUCAAGAGGCACAGGGUAUGGUAUAAGCAGCUCGAGUCUGGAAAAAGACAGGCCUGGGCUGUGAUCCUGCCUGCACUUGGCUGUCCCUUAGCAAAUUACAUCAUCUUUCUGAGCAUCCGUUUCCUAAAGUGCAGAUGGCAAUAUUCUUGCCCACCUGGUGGCUAUUGUGAGGAAAACAGUGGAGGUGGCAGGGUUUGGAGACCUCAAAGGCAUUAUGCCAACCAUAAACUUUAUUGUUUAUUUACUUAUUUAUUAUUUUUAGUGUUUAUUUAUUUUUGACGGAGACAGAGCGCGAUCGGGGAAAGGGCAGAGAGAGAGGGAGACAGAGAAUCCGAAGCGGGCUUUGGGCUCCGAGCUGUCAGCGCAGAGCCCGACGCGGGGCUCGAACCCACGAACUGUGAGAUCGUGACCUGAGCUAAAGUCGGACGCCCAACCGACUGAGCUGCCCAGGCGCCUCUCAUAAGCUUUAUUAUUUAAAAACAAAAUUUUUUUUAAUGUUUAUUUAUUUUUGACGGAGAGAGAGACAGAGUGUGAGAGGGGGAGGGGCAGAGAGAGAGGGAGACACAGAAUCCAAAGCAGGCUCCUGGCUCUGAGUUGUCAGCAUGGAGCCCAAUGCGGGGCUUGAACCCGCGGACCACGAGAUCAUGACCUGAGCUGAAGUUGGUCACUUAACCGGCUGAGCCACCCAGGCGCCCCCUAUGAGCUUUAUUUUUAAAGCAACAGGUCAAUGAGAAUCAAUAAACAGAAAUCGUCUUGGAAAAUUUGUUGGUCUCUUCUCCCCCUCAGGGUGAAAACAGGAAACACCUGAGCUAUAGGGGACGGUGGGAGGGGGGCGGGGAAGAAAGUCAUGUACACUGAGGGCUACAAAGUGCCAAAAUCUGUAUUAAAGGAGCUGAGUAUAUUAAUUUUCUGCAGAAAGGGCUUCAAUGACUUUCAUUCGAUUUAUUGAUAGGUAUUUUAUAGUUUUUUUCCUACUGUGCAUGGUAUCAUGUUUCUUUCACUGAAGCAUAGACGCGUAAUUAGCGUUAUAUAUUGAUUCUGUAUCCAGGAAACUUGUUGCGUUUCUUUAUUUUGUAUUGAGGCAUAAUUGACAAAUAAAACAGUAAGAUAUUUAUUUAAAGUGUUCAACGUGAUGAUUUGAUAUAGGUGUCAACUUCUUUAUUCACUCUAUUUAUUUAUCUUUCUGACUGUCCACAUAGACUAAUCACAUCAUCUGCAGAUAGUGACAGUUUUGUUUCUUCCUCUCACCUUUUUCUUUUUCUUUCUAACCUUCCUGGCAGUGGUGAUGGCGGGUACUCUUCUCUUAUUCCUGAUUUAAUUUAAUUAAAUUAAAUUAAUUAAUUAAUUUAUUUAUUUAUUUAAUUUUUUUUAUGUUUAUUUAUUUUUGAGACAGAGAGAGACAGAGCAUGAACAGGGGAGGGGCAGAGAGAGAGGGAGACACAGAAUCUGAAACAGGCUCCAGGCUCUGAGCUGUCAGCACGGAGCCCGACGCGGGGCUCGAACUCAUGGACCGCGAGACUGUGACCUGAGCCGAAGUCGGACGCUUAACCGACCGAGCCACCCAGGCGCCCCACUUAUUCCUGAUUUUAGAGGGAGAGCUGUUUCCACCGAGCCAUCAUGUAUGGUGUCUGUGCUAGAUUUUUCCAAAAUGUUCUUUAUCCUGCUAAAAAAGUCGACUUUAUUCUUAGUUUGCUAGGAGUUUACCCUUGAAAAGAUACCGGAUUUUAUUUACAUCUGCUGAGAUAUGCAUGUGGUUUGUCUCUUUUAACCUUUCAAUGUGAUGAUUUUACAUCCAUUAAUUUUCUAAUAUUUAACCAACCUUGAAUUCCUGAAGUAACUGCAACUUGGUCACGAUAUGUUUAUUGUUCAUACAUUGCUGGAUUUCAUGGGCAAAUCUUACGUUUCCGAAGUUUACAUUUUUGUUCUUUUGUGGUUUUUUGGUUUUCACUUUUUUUUUUUUGGUAAUCUUGUUCUUGCGGGAAUUCGGUUUGUAAAUUUUCAUUCUCAUAUUGUUCUUCUCUGGGAAAAUGGAAACGUUUUUGAAAGAUUAGAUUGAUCUCUGUCUGGAAUGUUUGAGAAAGCAUGUGACAAAACCAUCUGGGUCAAACGUCUUCGUGGGAGGUUUCUACUUCUAAUCCAGCUUCCUUAAUUCGGUCAUCACAUUAUACAAUUAUGCAGGUUUUAAAAUGUCUUUCUGAGUCGGUUUUUGUAACUCGUGUUUUUAUGGGGCUGUGUCUGUGUCAUCUGUUUUCAAAGUUAUGGUCGUAAAGUUGUCCUGAUAGUCUCCUCUGUAUCGAUCUAUUUAACCCCUGUGGCUUCUAUGAUCUGGUCUCUUUCCCAUGGUUAACGCUGUGUGUUUGUGUCUUCCGUUCAUUAUUUUCUUUUCUUGUUUCAACCGUGCCAGGGCCGACUCUUUUUUUUUUAAUCUUUUUAAAGAACCGACUCUCGGCAUUGCGACUCCUGUCUCUAGUAUGUUUGCCUUACCCACUCUGUGCUCUGGCGCCCCCAUCUGUAAAAAGAGGGAUGACAGCAGUAUGCAUCGAGCGUGCUUUUUGGGAAGGUUACUUGAGCUAAUUCACGCUAGAAUUGUGCUCAGCACAUAGUAGGUGCUCACUAAAUGUUUGAUUUCAUUUCUGCUUUUGUCAAGAAUUUUCGCACAUUCUUAUUUCCUUCCCCACCUUCCUUUAGGUUUUUUUCUAUUGUUCUUUUCCUAACGGCUCGUUUUGAAUGCUUGGCUCGGUUUGGAAUGCUUUUCUUUUCCGUAAGCGUUUUAACACUACGAUCUUCCGAAGGGCGCUUUUAGGGUGCCCAAUACGUUUUAGUAUGUUGUAGUGUCUCUGUUCUUUUUCUUGAGAAUUUUCAUGAUUAUUUCUACCUUAGUUCUGAAUUGUUGGGAGACAGGUUUUAACUUCUACACACAGGGGCAUCUUUUUCUAGUUACUUCUUUUGUUACUACUUCCUAAGCUAAUUGCUUUGCCCUCUGAGACCGCGUCCCGAUCCUCUGAAAUUUGUGGAGCUUCCUUUGUGUUCUGGCACAAGCUCCAGGCUUCGGUCUAUAGGAUCUGUUCUCCUAGCGGUUUUCUGCGUGCUUUCAGAUGCCUACUCCGUUUAGCGAGUUGUAAAGUUAAUCGGUAUUUUAACACCGCUCCCAAAUAAUACGAGAAGCCUAGAAUGCUCUGAUCGCCACUCACCUGGGGUUCUUUUCUGGUAUUUUUCCCCCCUCUCUUGUUAAUUUCUAACCUCUGAAGAUUAGAUUAGAUUUUGCUGUUGAAAUGUGUUCUCUCACACAUUUAAUGUUAGUUCCGGCUUUCUGGGUGAUAAUCAGGACAUCAUCAUUCCGUUUUGUCUCUCAGUCCUUAUGUGGCGACUCGGUUCCCUUCCUAACCGCACAUCCUUUAGAGUAGAAUAACCUCUUGCCUGAAAAGGGCUUGCUUCAGAAUUUAUCUCCUGCUGGGGGUACUCUUUGUUUUUGUUUGUCUGGAAAUGUCUUUAUUUUGCCCUUUUUGAAAGAUGGAUUUGCUAGCCUUUCUAAGUCGACAGUUAGUUUUUCUUGGCACAAUGGAGAUCGUAUCUCACUGUCUUCUCCUGGCCUCUACCGUUACUGCUGAGAAAUUACCCAUCCUUACUUUAUAGGCACCUGUCUUUCUUCUGGCUAUUUUAUUAUUUUUUUUUUUAAUUUUUUUUUUCAACGUUUAUUUUAUUUUUGGGACAGAGAGAGACAGAGCAUGAACGGGGGAGGGGCAGAGAGAGAGGGAGACACAGAAUCGGAAACAGGCUCCAGGCUCUGAGCCAUCAGCCCAGAGCCCGACGCGGGGCUCGAACUCACGGACCGCGAGAUCGUGACCUGGCUGAAGUCGGACGCUUAACCGACUGCGCCACCCAGGCGCCCCUCUUCUGGCUAUUUUAAAAAAAUGUUUGUUUUUGAGAGAGAGAGAGGGAGGAGGGGCAGAGAGAGAGAGAGAGAGAGAGCGGGGCAGAGGAUCCGAGGCGUGCUCUGUGCUGAGAGCAGCAAGCCCAACGCGGGGCUCGAACCCACGAACUGUGAGACUGUAACCUGAGCCAAGAUCGGACGCCCAGCCUGCUGAGCCGCCCAGGUGCCCCCAGGCAGGGCUAUUUUUAACAUUCUCUUUCUCUUUCUUUCUCUGGGAUCUGGGAGUUUUACCACAUAUAUUUCAGUGUGACUAUUUUAAAAUUUAUCUCAUUUAAUGUUUUGGGGACGAAAUUGCUGUCUUCCAACAAUUCUGGAUAAUUGUCUUCGAGCAGUCAUUCACUGUCAUUGUCUUUCAGCCUCUCCUUAUUGUCCCCCUUAUUGUGUUCUUGUGCCGCAUUCUUUCAGCUCACUGAUACUCUUUUCACUUGUUUUUUUUUUUUUAAUUUAUUUAUUUAUUUUCAGAGAGAGAGAGAGCGCCCGCGUGCAUAAGUGGGUGAGGGGCAGAGAGAGGAGAGAGAGAAUCCCAAGAGGGAGAAUCUCCAUGCUGUCAGUGCAGAGUCCAAUGGGGGGGCUCGAUCUCACGAAGAGUGAGGUCAUGACCUGAGCCCAAAUCAAGAGUCAGGUGCUUAACCGACUGAGCCAUCCACGUGUCCCUCUCUUCAUCUUUUUCUUUUUUUAAAAAAUAUUUUUAAAAAUGUUUAUUUAUUUUUGAGAGAGAGAAAGACAGAGCGUGAGCAGGGGAGGGGCAGAGAGAGAGGGAGACACAGAAUCGGAAGCAGGCUCCCGGCUCUGAGCUGUCAGCGCAGAGCCUGGCGUGGGGCUCGAACCCACGAACUGUGAAAUCAUGACCUGAGCCAAAGACGGACGCUUCACCGGCCCUUUCAUCUUUUUCUAAGCUGCCACUUUCCUUAGCUCAUUCUAAAAAUCUGUCUGUCUGUCUAUCUAUAUUUUUUCAGGAACUGGCUCAUGUGACGGUGGAGGCUUGGCAAAUCCAAAAUCUGCCGGGUAAUACGUCAGGCUGGAGACUCGGGGAGGCGUUGUGGUUCGAGUUCAAAAGCGGUCUGCUGAUAGAAUUCUUUCUUGCUCAAGAGAGGUCAGUCUCUUCUGCCAAGGCCUUUGACUGACUGGAUGAGGCCCACCCACAUUGGGGAAGGCAAUAUGCUUUCCUCAGAGUUCCGUGAUUUAAACGGCAGUCUCACCCCCCGCCAAACAGCCUCACGGAAACAUCCAG